rnacentral:rRNA from 1 species
CUAUACAUGACUCUGUGCAUAUCAAUAAGCGGAGGAAAAGAAACUAACAAGGAUUCCCCUAGUAACGGCGAGUGAAGCGGGAAGAGCUCAAAUUUGAAAUCUUAAAGGGUUUCCCUUUACGAAUUGUAGUUUAAAGAAGUGUUUUCUGUUGAGGUUUUGGUAAAAGUUCUUUGGAAUAGGACAUCAUAGAGGGUGAGAAUCCCGUAUUUGACCUUUACUUUCAACUUUGUGAUACACUUUCAAAGAGUCGGAUUGUUUGGGAAUGCAGUCCAAAAUGGGUGGUAAAUUUCAUCUAAAGCUAAAUAUUGGCGAGAGACCGAUAGCGAACAAGUACCGUGAGGGAAAGAUGAAAAGAACUUUGAAAAGAGAGUUAAACAGUACGUGAAAUUGUCAAAAGGGAAGCGUUUGACACCAGUGUUGUUUUUCUGAAAAUCAAUUAAAGAACUGUUUAUGCUAAGCUGUUUAGACUUUAUCAGCUAACUGUUUAGUUUUGAGCUUUUCUUUAAUGCACUUUUCAGUUAACAAGUCAACAUCAAUUUCUUUCGCUGUAAAAAAGCUUGAGGAAGGUGGCUUGAGAUUCGUCUUAAGUGUUUAUAGCCUCUUGCCUAUGCAGUCGGAGAGAUUGAGGUCUGCAGCGUAGAUCCUUCGGGGCUAAAUGCAUUUGUGCUAAGUUAUAGCAUUUUAUAGACAACUUGUUGACUACGAUUUGUCUUGUAGCUUACUCGCUUAUGUUAUUUUACCUACGCUUAGGAUGUUGAUCUACAGAGCGAGAGU